rnacentral:misc_RNA from 1 species
UCCGUGUUAACCACGGCAGUCUCUUUAGAGUGCCCAACUUAAUGCUGGCAACUAAAGACAAGGGUUGCGCUCGUUGCGGGACUUAACCCAACAUGUCACCACACGAGCUGACGACAGCCAUGCAGCACCUGUCUUCCUGUCGUAUUGCUACGAAAACCAUAUCUCUAUGGGUGUCAGGAGAUGUCAAAUCCAGGUAAGGUUCUUCGCGUUGCUUCGAAUUAAACCACAUGAUCCACCGCUUGUGCGGGCCCCCGUCAAUUCCUUUGAGUUUUAGUCUUGCGACCGUACUUCCCAGGCGGGGUACUUAUUGCGUUAGCUCCGACUCGGCAGGGGUCAAAUCCCGCCAAGUCUAGUACCCAUCGUUUACAGCGUGGACUAC